GUUUUUUUUAAAACGAAGGCAAAGAUUGCCUCAUCUAUUAAUUAAGCAGAAGAGAAUUGCCCAGUUAAUUACGGAAAACUGGGCGAAAACCGGAACAACAAGGGCCAAGCCCACACCCCUAGAUUGAAACACAUUGGGCAAAGCCCAUCCUAUUGGACAACAUGUCAACCUACAGCCAGACAACGCAGCUCCGACUCUGACGGAGAACUCAGAAGAACAAAACCAGGCACGGCUGGCGCCACGAAAGAUCACCGAACGGGCCACCUGCAGCCAGUCAUCGUACACCACAGGGCCCCGCCAUCGCAGCUUCGACUCCACAGCAACAAACAAACCGAGGCAAUAUCGUGGACACGCCGGAGAAGAGCCGACUACCGCAACCAUUGCCGCGUCGCCGACAUCGCUCCCACCAUCAUCGUUGCCACAGAAGUCUGGUUGCCAUAGUGAUUUUUCCGGGGCCGCCGCCCCGACAUCCACCGCUCCGUCACGCCCAGCGCAAUCAACCGGCACCGCCUUCCGAGGCCGCCGCCCCGACAUACCACCGCUCCCCUCGAGCAGCAACGCCGCACAACCCAGCUGCCCGCAGCCCACACUGCUCAAGGCAACCGCUCGCAGACCACGAACGUCUCACCACAUCCGGGGCCGCCGCCCCGACAUAACGUCAGACCGCCCCCUAUGGGGCGCAUCGACCGAGCCGACACCCCUACCGCCCAAGCGGGACAAGGAUGCCACCCAACCAAUGUGGAGAUAGAGCCCCACCUCAUAGAGCUGCCACUCGCAUUGUUCCCGAGAUCGCCAUCUCGACGCACAAUCAGAAACCACCCAGAGCCGUCGCCCCGACGUCAACUGUCCCCGACGACGAAGAGAUCCGUGCAAACUGCAGUAUGCUGACUCUCCAAGGCGAUGCCUCAAAGAAGGAAGCGACGUAGCCGCCGUCAUCGCCCGUUUCAACCAACUGAAACUAGGGAUUUCUUCCGGAGAGUCGUGUAAUGGAGCUUCACGACAACGCCUUCAAGGAGAACGACACCAUGGCGCCGCCGUUGCCGGCACCGACCCAAAGUCAGUGCAGGGCUUUCACCCGAAGCUCCUCCACACCUCCGAAUCCGAGCGGAUCCAAAGCACUGCACACACACAAUCUCCAUGGUCGACGUCCACCGGUUCCACCUCAUGGUGCAGCUGCCGCCGCACCUCACACGUCCAACCCGGCCGUCACGACGACCCGCACCGUCGCCGCCCCGGCCUCCUCGAGCAGAGCACCACCACCCCAAAGAACAGAGCAGCCGGAGACCUCCUCCUUGCUGGACCUCGCAUUGCCACGCUGUCCCCAAAACUGCUGCACGCCGCCGACCACCAAAGCUUGGAGCAGCCGGAGCUCCUCCACGGCAGUCCACCGCAGGGCCGACCGGACCACCAGCAGACCAUAGCAAACUACAGCCACCACCGGCCGCCCCUCCGACCCACGCCAGAUGCAGAUCUGACCGAGGUGAGAUCGGCCGAGGAACCGCUGCAGAACGCACCCUCCGGCGACCUCCUGCCGCCCGCCAAGAAAGAAGGGCACCACCGUCUCCCGGGGCCGCCGCCCCGGCUUCCUCGCGCCGACGAGAUGGCCGGACGACGCCCCAGCCGCUCCGCCCCUCCCCCGACGCCUCCAGACGCAAAAUCGAAGCCCCCUGCCGCCUUUGGUAGCAGGGCCCGCCGCCACCGCGGCAACGGCCGGCGGCAGCGGCGGAGAUGGAUCCCGCUGCGGGGGUCGCUGGCGGCGGAGGAGUGUCGCCCCCGGUGCCGCCUGGGGUGCGACACGGGGGGAUGUUUUUUUAGCCCCUGCGAUAUGUUACGUUUUUAGUAUAUAUGGAAG
rnacentral:rRNA from 1 species